UACAGAGGGUGCAAGCGUUAAUCGGAAUUACUGGGCGUAAAGCGCACGUAGGCGGUUGGUUAAGUUGGAUGUGAAAGCCCCGGGCUCAACCUGGGAAUUGCAUUCAAAACUGGCCAACUAGAAUACGGGAGAGGGGGGUAGAAUUCCAAGUGUAGCGGUGAAAUGCGUAGAGAUUUGGAGGAAUACCAGUGGCGAAGGCGGCCCCCUGGCCCGAUAUUGACGCUGAGGUGUGAAAGCGUGGGGAGCAAACAGG
rnacentral:rRNA from 1 species